GAAAGACCAAUAAAAUUAUUUUUGAUUACUUAAGGAAUUUCCACCUUAAACAAUAUUACAUGGAAGAAAUAUAAUUACAUUACGGAUCUACCUAAAAUAUAAUGAAUAACACUGAAAAAUAAGUAAUAAAGUAUUGCCUUAUUCAUUCAAACGAUACAUAAUUUAUUCGAAAAACAAUAAUAUAAAAUAGAAAGGGGAAGGAAAACAUUCUGUAUAUGCAAUCUCUCAGCCUUUAGAAACAUGCAUCCAAGACACAGCAGCAACACAAUGCAGCACAACUGCAUGAAAAUAAUGACAGAUCAAAAUAUACUGAUAUAUUAAUUGCAUGUUAGAGAGAGAAAGAAAAGUGACUAAUUGAUUACCAUCCUUUCCAGAACCCAUCACCCUUGGACUUGGUUUCCACCACUGAUUUCUGAGGGUACUGUGGAGAUUCUUUGGUGGGAUAACCAAUAGGUGGUUGAGCAGGUGCAGAUGACGGUGGAGGAUACGCUACAUUGAAAGAAUUUGAAGCUAGCAUCAUAUUAGUAUAGCCACUUGCAUAAUAGAAAUAAACGAUUUCAAAUUGCUAGCUAAAGGAAUUGAAGCCUCAAUUUAUAAGCAUAGGAAUAUAAUUUCUGAAGGAGUUUAGGUUCUGAAAUGUAUGCGGUGAGUUGUGACUUCCAUAGAACAAGAUGAAUUAGUAUCUAAAAAAAAUUACAAAAUGAAUUAGCAACAAGAAAAUAUCUCAAGUCAUUGUGAGGUUUAAUUCUCAUUCUUUAAGAAACUCAAAUUGCUAGCAACCAUUUGCUAUGCAAACUGAAGAAGACCGAGAUCCCGAUUUUGCAGAGAUCAAUUACCAAAAAGUAAAUAGAUUGGCCAAAACUUGUAUCACAAUUUUAGCAAACCAAUCCUUCUAUAAAAAAAUACCUGUGAAUAUAAACAAAAAAUACCAUCCUAGAGGUACUAAAACAUAUUCCUAAAAGAUGUUUUUUUGUUUGUUAAUACUUUAUGCUAAACAUGGUGUUAAAUUACGAGUCACAACUACUCUCGACAGGAAAAAAAACAAGACAUGAAGGUGCAGCCCGUUGAAGAGAAUUUAAAUCAUCUCAACCGUAUAUGAUUUCUUUUGAAGUAUAGUGUGAUUUUUUAAAAUUGGAAUCAUGAGUUGCGAUUAAAGUUUAAAACCAUGAUUCUAAUUACAGUUUAAGCAUGGCAUGUUUUGAGUAUAAAGCAUGGACAAUAUCUAUGCAGGGACUUCACCUGUAGUACUCUGGCCUGAGCUCAUCUUCAAACGAUGGAAUUCUUAACACACCAAAUAACCGGAAAAAAAAAAAAAAAGAGGGGGGAUGAAAUAGGACGAAAUUAAGAUUAUAGUUUUCAAAUAUAUACAAAUGGUAAGCGAAGAUAUCAAGGUGUAACAAAAGAAAUUAAUUAUGUUACUUGGAAGGCAACGGAAAGAACAAGGGACGGCACACCGCUUGAAAUGUGAUGUUUUUAUUUUUUUUUCAGUCUUCAGAAAUAUAUAGAGCUUUAAAUUAUUUUCAUAAUAUUUGAGUGAAGUGCACAAG
rnacentral:lncRNA from 1 species